rnacentral:tRNA from 1 species
GCUUUCGUGGUGUAGUGGUCAGCACGCUCGGCCCAUAUUCGAGAGGUCCGUGGUUCGAAUCCCGGAGAGAGCA